rnacentral:rRNA from 1 species
GCUUCCAUGGAGCCUGACUUUGGUCACUCUUGUGAUGUAAAUCCCAAGGGAGUCCCCAUGGAAGGUCAUCAAUAAAACUCAUGUAUCCAAUGUCUUCUGUCUGAACUGUUUAUAACAAAUGUUAAAACUUUCAACAACGGAUCUCUUGGUUCUCGCAUCGAUGAAGAACGCAGCGAAAUGCGAUAAGUAUUGUGAAUUGCAGAAUUCAGUGAAUCAUCUAAUCUUUGAACGCACAUUGCGCCUCCUGGUAUUCCGGGAGGCAUGCCUGUUCGAGCGUCAUUAAAUACCUCUCAAGCACCAUUGCUUGGUCAUGCAAGAUGAGUAUGCUUGCAUUCUCCCUUCUGAAAUUCAAAGGCGGAUCAUCUCAUAUUCCCUGGCGUAGUAAAUGUUUAUCUUUCGCUUGGAGUGUGUGACAGUCUUGCUAUCGACCCCCAUUAUUUCAAGGUUGACCUCGGAUCAGGUAGGGAUACCCGCUGAACUUAAGCAUAUCAA